AACGAACGCUGGCGGCAUGCCUAACACAUGCAAGUCGAACGGAUCCUUCGGGAUUAGUGGCGCACGGGUGCGUAACGCGUGGGAAUCUGCCCUGGGGUACGGAAUAACUCAGCGAAAGUUGUGCUAAUACCGUAUGAUGUCUUCGGCCCAAAGAUUUAUCGCCCUGGGAUGAGCCCGCGUAGGAUUAGCUAGUUGGUCAGGUAAAGGCUCACCAAGGCGACGAUCCUUAGCUGGGCUGAGAGGAUGACCAGCCACACUGGGACUUGGACACGGCCCAGACUCCUACGGGAGGCAGCAGGGGGGAAUAUUGGACAAUGGGCGCAAGCCUGAUCCAGCAGUGCCGCGUGAGUGAUGAAGGCCUUAGGGUUGUAAAGCUCUUUUACCCGGGAAGAUAAUGACUGUACCGGGAGAAUAAGCCCCGGCUAACUCCGUGCCAGCAGCCGCAGUAA
rnacentral:rRNA from 1 species